rnacentral:rRNA from 1 species
CUUUAUCCAUGAUUUAGCUUUUAAAGCCUUCGGGCGCUGAGGGAUUGGGAUAUGCUCUAUUAGCUAGUUGGCGGGAUAAAAGCCCACCAAGGCAAUGAUAGAUAGCUGGUCUUAGAGGAUGAACAGCCACAAUGGGAUUGAGAUACGGCCCAUAUUCCUACGGGAAGCAGCAGUAGGGAAUCUUCCACAAUGGACGAAAGUCUGAUGGAGCAAUACCAUGUGAACGAUGAAGGCCUUUUUGGUUGUAAAGUUCUUUUA